rnacentral:lncRNA from 1 species
UGCGCUUUUAACUGCUUGUGGUUGAGUGGCAGCAUGAGCGAGCUCUGCGUAUUCCAACCCGGCGUUAAGAAUCCUUCACUAGCUUUUCUUCCCGACGCUGCUUAUUUAUCUAUCGGUAGCAUGACGGGUAAUUGACGCCCUCGGAUGGCUUUGAGGUCGCCAUUUUUGGUUGGUGCCUUUGUCUUGGUGUCAGGACUGGGAUAUCAUCUGGGACACAUUACCCCACAGGUAUCCUGUUGGACCUCAACGAGGAAGUUGGCAACAGAGGAACCAGGAGAUGAGAGAGAUCGAUACCUACAGCCGCUGAGAGCCGGUAUUCCAACGCCAUGAGACGCCUUCUGUCGUGAGCAGUUGACAAGAAAGACCCAGCACUUACUGCAACCGGAAGGAGCGGUUCCUCCCUCGCUCGCGCAGCCGCUCUUCCCCGCCACUCCCUCGGUGCCCGCCAGCACAUUCCCAGCAAGCCCUGAGUAUAUUUGCAUAUCAACUCACUACAUUUUUUUCUUCUAACUAAAAAAUCGAAAGGACAAAUUCCAGAUUCUCCUUGUGAAGUCUUCCUUUCAGUUCAGAAGAAAUGGAAUUCGCUCUUCAACUUCAGGAAGUUGAAAUAAAGAGUUGCUUGGA